AAGUCAACAAGAAUUUGAAAUUAGUCACCUGCUCACUAACUAUCUCCCUCACUCACAACCUACUUUGAUGACCGGCCACCGGGAGACACCGUGUCGGCGGCUGCCUCCAGCGACGAUGGUGUACCUGAAUCAAAGUGGAGGUCACCAUCUGGUGUGCAAUACUGCGCUAGUGACGGAUUUGGGAAUGGAUUGGGAAGAUUAUCACUGGAUAAACUGAAUCGAAGGGCUCUAUUUGAAGAACCCUAGGUCAUUUUAAGCAAAUUAAAAGGAGACUAUGAAAAAUUAAUGCCUACAACCUUAGGGCUUGGAUUCCUCUCCCUAGACUCUAUAAUUUGGUAACCAGGAAGCGCGAAAAGGCAAUAGUCAGAGAAUUACUCACCGGAGAAGGAGGCCGAAAAUACGUCAGUAUAUUGUUAUGCUGCCAAAUAUGGAACUAAACUUAGACAGAUGUUGCCAUUCAUGCUGAAAACCAAUUUGCAAGGCAAUGUUUGAGCAUGGCUGCAGCAGGGUGUUCAAUACAUGUUUGUUUCCUUAUAUUGAUGUGGCUCUGGUGCAAGCAGCAAUCACAUGAUUCUGCAGUAGACUUGAUGGCAAGGUUGGAUGAUUUGUGGUAGGGUUCUGUAGAAGUGUGGCUUAUAUUACAGGUUUGUUAUUGUUGGAAGCAUGGUAAGCCAUUAUGAUUUAGGUGUUUCACUGUAGGAUCACUUGGCUUGAUUGGGAUGCUUUUGUGAGCUAAAUUACCUGCUGCCAGUUGUUGUAUCACUACAGGUCUGCUUUGAUGCUUUUGUCAUGGUGUUGCAAUUUGGAUGUCAUACUGCAGGUCAGGUCCACUUGUGUAAGGUUGGUUACAUUGGUUUUUGGAGGAUUUACAUGAUAGUUCAUACUACAAGUUUGAAAAAGGCUUUUGUGGUUUGAUACAUGACUUGGCCUAGAUGCCUUACCAAUUACCUAAUAUAAACUGAUACAUUGUAGGAUUACUUGGCUUCCUUAGAUGUAUGUCUGUUUGGAUUAUGAUUGAUACAUCAGGUUAGUUUGAGGAUUGAGUAUGCUUUCCAUGAACUAUGUUGAAACCUCCUCCCAGGCUAGAGUUGGAUGGUAACUGACAUGAGCUUGUGGUUGGAGGUUCAUGAUGGUUCUGCUGCAGGCUAUAGCAUUGGCAUGCCCUGUGAUUGAUGCCCUGCUCAACUAUUUUAGGUUGUGUGCUUUAACUGAUCCAAGAAAAACAAAACACUUUGGCACUCAUGCUGCAGAAUAAUUGCUAAGUUUUGACUUGGAUUCCCUGGUGUGAUAUGGAUUUGAAUGUCAUUCUGUCAUGGAUUCUUGCCAAUUGGUGUGGCGCUACUUUGUCUUUUGGUUGUAUAUGAUGGUUGAUUGGUCUUCUUGCAGGUAACUUGUUGGCUGUUGAUCCACACAAUGGUCUUGGUUCGCAUCAUGUUGCAGGACUGCUUUGUUUGGCUCGAAUUUGAAACAGGUUUGUGGUAUGGUGCAAUCCAAUUGUGGAUUUAGCAUUUCAGGAUGUUCAUGGAGCAAUGGUGUUGGACCAAACUGCAAGGUAAGGUUGCCAUAUCAUGGUAUUGAGGUAACUACUAGUUUCAAGGUGCAUUACUUGGUAGAUUGAUGUGUGUUACACUUAAUCUUCUCCUGUCUAAGUUGAUGCAGGUGCGGGCAUGUUAUGCUAUCAGUCCCAAUGGUUUGGACAUGGUUCUGCAACAUGUUCCAAUCGGUAUGAACCUGGCAAUUAAAGCAAUGCUGUCAAUUUAUCUGUGUGUAGUUACUUGAUGUCAGAUCUGCCUUGAACUUGGACAGUGGUUAAGUGAGGGUUCUUGGACUUGUAAUGGUCAUGUCAUGAAGCCAUGUUUGGAUGAGUGAGAUCUAUGGCUUACUUCUGUUUUAGAAUCAAAAGCAAUAUGCUAAUUUGUUUUUGUUUGAAGUUCAUGACAACAUGUUAGUUUGUAUGUUAAUGAUAUUGAUCGGCUUUGUAGGCAUGGCAUGGACAUGAACAUGGUUGGUCAAAGAUAAACUAGCAAAUGAAGAAAUCAUGAUGGAAUCAAGCAAGCAUGAACAAUGGAAUGAUGGAUUAGAGUUUAAGAUGGGAAUUUAGGUUUUUGGGGACUUUGGUUGACUUUGGUCAAAGUUGACCAAAAAGUCAACUGUUGACCAAAGUCAAUAUUUGGUCAACCCUCUUAAUUUUGUAAUUUUUUCGUAUUUUGGAUAUUUUAUGACCAUGUAAUGAAUGAGCUUGGUAUGUUUUGAAUGAA